rnacentral:ribozyme from 1 species
UGCCCAGCAACUCCUAUCUCUACCUCCUCGUGGUACUGGCCGGGGUACGAGUAACCUUAGGGAAGAUCAGGCAAACAACCCUGGUGGAGAAUUUGGCCGUAUACUGAGAGGGAAGG